CCCGAUGCAACUUGCCCACUGUAUCCAGCCGAGACAAAUCAACAUCAGAAAGACCUUAGCAGCUCUACUAUAGUGGAAGACCUAUUGACUUAAUAUUGGUUAAUCAGGUCUUAGUGUUUGCAACUUGAGCUCUUCAUAAGAGGUAAUCGAACAAUUGGGCAGGUAAGCAGGUGGGAGGCUCCCCUUACUCAGAGAGUAAGGUCCUAAUUAAGUAACCAUCUUUCAUGCUUUACUAGACACCAAUUAGAUCAAUUAAUCUAAUAUGACUCGCUCAUGUU
rnacentral:lncRNA from 1 species